AUCUACUAAUUCCAAGUUCCCGAUUUGUCCUUCCCCCACCCCUGUAUUAAAAUAUUACUUAUCUUGAUCACUAGGUUUUUUGGCCUCCUUGACAUUUUUGUGCCUGAGGUGAGGAGCUCGCUGGCUUGCUUAGUCUCGCCCCGUUGAGUUUAUAAAACAGGAUGGAAAAUCUCCAUGCAGGGAGUUUUUUCAGCAUCUCUUCCAGCCUACUCUGUCCGUGUAGAAUGUGUCCCUUACACCCCACAAAACAGACAACAGACAAACCGGCACAGCUCUCAAGCCUCACUUGUGCUCCCUAUGGGGUAGUGGGGUCUCUCCUGGCCAUACCCCUCACCAUCAGGUCAUGGGAAACGCACAGGGAGACCAUCUUAUUGGGGGAGCCUCUUCACCAAGGCUCUUUGGAUGGGCUCCAGGGCAGACCCACUUCAUAAUGAGUUCUGCUGGGGAGUGACAAUGGGAAACAUGGUCCGUGCAUUUAUCUUUCUUGACAUCUUGACAGUUCCCAGUGACGUUCUUCUCUUGGCCUCACCUGACAUAGCCCAGUUUAGAAUGAGAGUCCCCCUGCAGAGUGAUUCCUUAUCUGUAAUGAAUAAAGACCUGCCCAUAAAGCUGGGGUGGGGGUGGGGGUAGGGGCAGACGAUAGAUUUGGAAGGACCCCCUGGAGAGUUAAUGCUGAUCCUUAGUUGGCAGCUGGCGAAGCUGAGGCACAAGGCAGUGACCUCCGAGUGGGGGUCCUUCUGAACCACACGGCUGGAAGUGCCCGGCCAGGCCUGGAAUGCAGGCCACAGCUCUGCCCUUGGCAGCCUCGGCCAGGCCAUGGCCUCAGUGGAGCGCUUGCCUGGGGAUGUGGAUCCACUGUGUUGCUGCUGCAAAGCAACCUGUUAUUUAAAGCCUCCCCCUGAUUCUGGGUUUCAGUGCCUUUCCUUCCAAACUACAGUAGGCCCCCUAAGUGCCUUUAUUGCCAUGGAGGGAGAGAGAAAAUGCAGGCAGCUUGGUAAUUGAACAACCAUGCUCUUGUCAGCCCUCAUUGUUUUCAAAGCAGCUAUUGUGGGGGGCUAGCGCCCUGGCAUGGCACAGGCAGGCCGCGCUGGCCUUCUCCAGCAGCGCCCGGGCCAGCUUGCCCCCCGUGGUCCACGGGGCAGUGUGUCUUUAAAUGUUCCUUGUUUCCUAAGUUCUGCUCUGGCAAGCCAGCUCUGCCUUAAACCUGCAGAGUUAAAUUUACCCAGACUGACAACUGUAUAUGCAGGGUUUACGUCUUUCAUAAUAUUAUGGCUAACUGAAUCGGAGAAUCGGCGUGCUGCUGGAACUGUAAAGCUCCUCGCGGGGAAAAUGUGCUUGCGAGCCUCCAUGGACUCUUUGACAGUUGCCUUGUCACUUCUCUGUGGCUCUCACCUCCCCGGUUUUCAUCUGAGAAGAUCAUUAGAUCCCUUGCAGCCUGUAGACAGGGGUGGGCUAGGCAGAGUGUCUGCAGAGCUGCUCCAGCCAGAGAAAGAGGCUUUUCCAUCUUUAAGUAGCCUUGGCUUGUUUGGGGGCUGCUAAGCUGCCUGAGUUGUCACGUGAAGACUCAAGGGGUCUGUGGACUGGGGACACGUGGUAUUGGUCGGUUGGUGGUCUAAUCUUGCCAGAUACUCAGCACAAGCUGCACCUUUACUAUUCAAGCAAGUCCUAAAUAUUUAUUAAAGAGGUAUUAUGUGUGAUGCUAAAUAGAUGUGAUUCAUUGGGGCAAAAAUACAUGGCUUUUGGGGUCACACCUGGCUUUGAAUUCUGGCUUUUGCUUUACUUACAGUGUGACCUUGGAUAAAUAAUUUUAUGUCCUCAAGGCUCAAUUUCUGCAAAGGCAGUGGAGUUGUUCAUCUAAUAGGCAGAUCGGUCAAGAUUAUAAAAUGGCCAGCAGUGUGCUGGGUACAUAUGAGAUUCUCAAUAAAUGGUCAGACCUUCCUUUUAUUGCUCUUGGGCACUCAUGUGGGAUAGAAAGACCUCUGUGGAUUCAGGAGAUCACCGUCCCAUUGGAGAGGCAAAGCGUCUGUGCUAAAUCAAGGUACAAGUAAUCGUUUGAGAUCUGUCACAUGUAGUAUAGCACUCAUUAGGGAUUGGUACAGAUCUAAAGUUCAUUGAGUUCAAAGGAGAGGCUAGAUCCCUGGUAAGUUGAGGUACACGGACAGCCUGAUCCGUCUCUGAAGGAUGAAGAGAAUUUAAAUAGAUGGAAAGACCACUGGGGAUUGUGUGUGUGUGUAUGUUUAUGUGUAGGGGAUGUCAGUUUAUUAGUAGAGGCAGAUAGUGUGUGUUAAUGCACAGAGAUGGAGAGGCCCAAGGCCCAAUUUGGGAAACAGUAGAAUAUGCUUUGUCUGGGAGUGAUGGUUUGUAUGUGGUAAAUAGUGGACCAGGAGGUUAGAAAUGUGGAUCUGAACUGCACUGUGGACAGCUCUGAAUACCAAGUUAGGGAAAUCAUUGCAUUAUCUUAUGUAUUUGGUUUGUUUUAAGCAUGGAACUCAGGACAGACCAGCAGUGAACCCAUGAAUGGGGGGUAGACCUCUAGUGGCCGAGAGAGUUACUGCAAAGCCUCAUGAUAUGAAUCUUGUUUAAUGCAUAAUUUUCACAAGCUUGGCUUAUGUUGGAAAUUGGAAGCAGAAUGUAAAAAACGUCCAGGCUGACAGAAGUAAUGGCUCACAGCCUGAAAUCUUACAGAGUCAAAAGAACCACAG
rnacentral:lncRNA from 1 species